rnacentral:rRNA from 1 species
UACGAAGGGGGCUAGCGUUGUUCGGAAUUACUGGGCGUAAAGCGCACGUAGGCGGGUCGUUAAGUCAGGGGUGAAAUCCCGGAGCUCAACUCCGGAACUGCCUUUGAUACUGGCGAUCUAGAGAUCGAGAGAGGUGAGUGGAAUUCCGAGUGUAGAGGUGAAAUUCGUAGAUAUUCGGAAGAACACCAGUGGCGAAGGCGGCUCACUGGACUGGUAUUGACGCUGAGGUGCGAAAGCGUGGGGAGCAAACAGG